rnacentral:rRNA from 1 species
GAUGAACGCUGGCGGCGUGCUUAACACAUGCAAGUCGAACGGUGAAGGCGGAGCUUGCUCUGCUGGAUCAGUGGCGAACGGGUGAGUAACACGUGAGCAAUCUGCCCCUGACUCUGGGAUAAGCGCUGGAAACGGCGUCUAAUACUGGAUACGAGCUGCGAAGGCAUCUUCAGCAGCUGGAAAGAACUUCGGUCAGGGAUGAGCUCGCGGCCUAUCAGCUUGUUGGUGAGGUAACGGCUCACCAAGGCGUCGACGGGUAGCCGGCCUGAGAGGGUGACCGGCCACACUGGGACUGAGACACGGCCCAGACUCCUACGGGAGGCAGCAGUGAGGAAUAUUGCACAAUGGGCGAAAGCCUGAUGCAGCAACGCCGCGUGAGGGACGACGGCCUUCGGGUUGUAGACCUCUUUUAGCAGGGAAGAAGCGAAAGUGACGGUACCUGCAGAAAAAGCGCCGGCUAACUACGUG